CAGUCGUAGAGCGCUGGUGUAUGGCCCCGUAGUCCAAAAGAUAGACAUCAACAAGGACGGAAUCCAGGGAACCCUUUUAAUACCAGCAGGUCCUGGACCAUUCCCUGCUGUGCUGGAGCUAUCUGGGGGAGGAGGGGGGCUGUUUGAGCAUCGCUCCUCCCUGUUAGCCUCCCAAAGCUACGUCUCCUUUGUGCUGCAGUACCUCACGGACUUCCCUACAACAGUUGCCAUAGGAUGCAUGUACUUUGAGGUGGCCAGUGAUAGAGUGGCUGUGUUUGGCUCCUCACUGGGAAUCCUUAUCCCUGGCCGUUUACUCUGAUGUCAUUAAUGUGAGUAUUACACGCCUUCCUCUUUGAAUUUGACUUGUUUGAUUGAUAACCAGUUAAUUACUGAACGCAAAUACUGUAAACAAUUAUUUUACAGGUGCUCUGUAGACACAACCCUCUCCUGUUUUCCAACAUAUUUUUUGAUAAUUCCCCUCUUUUCCAGCCCAGAUGUAUGGUGUGUAUAAGUGGCAGCCAUGUUUUCCCUUUUAGAUUGUCCCUUGUGUCAAUAGCUGACAAGUACAGCACGUGAGUGUGUUUUAACCUAUUCUAAAGCAAUGGUAAAUUACCUCAUUUGGAAUACACUGAAAUUAUAGUUGUAUUUUGCUCAAAUCCCUAGAAAUAUGCACAAGAUGCACUUUGAUGAGAACAACCAUUUGAGCCCAUCACUGAGAGUGGCCCUAAAGUUGAGGUGAUGAUAUCUCUCAGACUGCAUUGUAUGCACACUAUACUGUAUGUACUUGCACAGUGAGGAUCUGACAUGUGUUUGGACCUAUUUGUUGACCCCAUAGCUCAGGAGGUUAAAGUGUCCAUUACUGAUGGUCAUUGGAGAAGCCAGAACUGACCAGAACUGUGCCACUGCAGAAUCUGUCCAGGAUGUAAGUACUGUACAUUUGAGUUAUUUAGUAGACAGUCUUGUCCAGAGCAACAUACAUGAGCAAUUAGGGUUA
rnacentral:lncRNA from 1 species